rnacentral:rRNA from 1 species
CACCUCUAGCAUGACCAGUAUUAGAGGCAUUGCCUGCCCAGUGACUCACGUUAAACGGCCGCGGUAUUCUGACCGUGCAAAGGUAGCAUAAUCACUUGUUUCUUAAUUGGGGACUAGCAUGAAUGGCUCGACGAGGGUUUAACUGUCUCUUACAUUUAAUCUAUGAAAUUGACCUCUCCGUGAAGAGGCGGAGCUAGUAAAAUAAGACGAGAAGACCCUAUGGAGCUUUAAUUUAUUAGUCUAUCUUAUAUACCAUACAAACCUAUCUGGUUUUAACCUCAAUGAGCAUUAGACUAAUAAUUUCGGUUGGGGUGACCUCGGAGGAAAAAAAAUCCUCCGAAAGAUUAUAUACUAGACACACUAGUCUAAUACAUAGGAUGUUAUCAUCCUAUGAUCUUAAAUUGACCCAGAUUAAUCUGAUCAAUGGACCAAGUUACCCUAGGGAUAACAGCGCAAUCCUUCUAGAGAGUCCAUAUCGAUAGUAGGGUUUACGACCUCGAUGUUGGAUCAGGACAUCCUAAUGGUGCAGCAGCUAUUAAGGGUUCGUUUGUUCAACGAUUAAAGUCCU